AUUGAACGCUGGCGGCAGGCCUAACACUUGCAAGUCGAGCGGUAGAGAGAAGCUUGCUUCUCUUGAGAGCGGCGGACGGGUGAGUAAUGCCUAGGAAUCUGCCUGGUAGUGGGGGAUAACGUUCGGAAACGGACGCUAAUACCGCAUACGUCCUACGGGAGAAAGCAGGGGACCUUCGGGCCUUGCGCUAUCAGAUGAGCCUAGGUCGGAUUAGCUAGUUGGUGAGGUAAUGGCUCACCAAGGCGACGAUCCGUAACUGGUCUGAGAGGAUGAUCAGUCACACUGGAACUGAGACACGGUCCAGACUCCUACGGGAGGCAGCAGUGGGGAAUAUUGGACAAUGGGCGAAAGCCUGAUCCAGCCAUGCCGCGUGUGUGAAGAAGGUCUUCGGAUUGUAAAGCACUUUAAGUUGGGAGGAAGGGCAGUAAAUUAAUACUUUGCUGUUUUGACGUUACCGACAGAAUAAGCACCGGCUAACUCUGUGCCAGCAGCCGCGGUAAUACAGAGGGUGCAAGCGUUAAUCGGAAUUACUGGGCGUAAAGCGCGCGUAGGUGGUUUGUUAAGUUGGAUGUGAAAUCCCCGGGCUCAACCUGGGAACUGCAUUCAAAACUGACUGACUAGAGUAUGGUAGAGGGUGGUGGAAUUUCCUGUGUAGCGGUGAAAUGCGUAGAUAUAGGAAGGAACACCAGUGGCGAAGGCGACCACCUGGACUAAUACUGACACUGAGGUGCGAAAGCGUGGGGAGCAAACAGGAUUAGAUACCGUGGUAGUCCACGCCGUAAACGAUGUCAACUAGCCGUUGGAAGCCUUGAGCUUUUAGUGGCGCAGCUAACGCAUUAAGUUGACCGCCUGGGGAGUACGGCCGCAAGGUUAAAACUCAAAUGAAUUGACGGGGGCCCGCACAAGCGGUGGAGCAUGUGGUUUAAUUCGAAGCAACGCGAAGAACCUUACCAGGCCUUGACAUCCAAUGAACUUUCUAGAGAUAGAUUGGUGCCUUCGGGAACAUUGAGACAGGUGCUGCAUGGCUGUCGUCAGCUUGUGUCGUGAGAUGUUGGGUUAAGUCCCGUAACGAGCGCAACCCUUGUCCUUAGUUACCAGCACGUAAUGGUGGGCACUCUAAGGAGACUGCCGGUGACAAACCGGAGGAAGGUGGGGAUGACGUCAAGUCAUCAUGGCCCUUACGGCCUGGGCUACACACGUGCUACAAUGGUCGGUACAGAGGGUUGCCAAGCCGCGAGGUGGAGCUAAUCCCACAAAACCGAUCGUAGUCCGGAUCGCAGUCUGCAACUCGACUGCGUGAAGUCGGAAUCGCUAGUAAUCGCGAAUCAGAAUGUCGCGGUGAAUACGUUCCCGGGCCU
rnacentral:rRNA from 1 species